GGAGAGGUGGCCGAGCUGGCUUAAGGCGCACGCCUGCUAAGUGUGUGUAGGCUUAUCCCCUACCGAGGGUUCGAAUCCCUCCCUCUCCGCCA
rnacentral:tRNA from 3 species